GAUUCCCUUGUCAGUAAGAGCCUUGUAGAGAUUUCCGGUAAAACCGUGCCGAGUGUCAGUGCCCCUAAAACUAAGGAACACUUGGUAAGUGAAUCCAUAGGAAAAUGAAGAGGAUGAGGAAGGUGAUUGUAUAGCCAUGACAAUUGAGAGAAAUAGGAUGAAAAAAGAGUUUGAGAAUGCAGAAUAUGAAUGGUAAAUUUUUGUGGUCUGUUAUGUGAAGUCUUUGAUAAGUAACUUUAUAACUUAUGAGAAAAAUGGUCUCUGAAACUUCCUGGCCACUUCCUAUAGCCGUGUGGGACCAAUCAUACAAUAAAUAUCAUUGUAUUACAAGACUUUUAACAUGUUUUAGUUUUGAACUGCUUUUAUUCUUCUGCUGAAUGUAAUUUUUCACUUUGUUACUUAAUUACUCAGUGUGUUAAAUAGAAAUAAAUUAGGUUAGCAUAGAUAUGCAAUAUUAUAGUUUCUAUUUAUUUUGAAAUAUUACCACUUGAACCAAAUGGUUAAUUAACCAUGUACACACAAUUAUUUCAGUAGGCUUUCACGUUAAAUGGAUAAUUAGCUAUACAACAGAACUAACAUAAUUAUUUAUUCAUGUUUAUUUUACUUUGUACUAACAAUUAUAAAUAUCCGAAAAAUAAAGAUUGAGUGUAAAGUAACCAUCACAUCCUUCUUCCAUGUAAUUUCUUUAGAGCAAUGUCAAUGUCUUAAUAGAAAAAAAAUAGGAAAACAAGGCAAAGUUUCAUCCACAAAUAUCUACUUGUGUAAAUUUUCAGGUAACUAAUGUCACUUUGUUAAUAAAUAACUCAUUUUAUAGAUAUAAAUAUGAAACGAUGGAGUGAUGGCACACAAGGCUCACAACAAAUUUGUCCUUAUAAAGAACAUCAAAUUCAGAAAUUCUUGUCACUCAAAUGCUCUCAAAAAAUUGGUAACCACAUGUCAAAUAUCCUUUUUCUUAAACCCAUUUACUACCAUCCAUACAAAAAUAAACAAAAUGAAGCUCCAUUACACCAUCAAGAUGCAUUUUGGUUACUUCUAACCAAAGAAAAACAAAGGAAAAUUUGCAUUUCAAAUAUCAUCAAAUGACAUGUUAAUUGAGUCUUACAUUUGCUAAUACUUUGCUUCCAACAGUAGUAGUAUCAACAGGACCUGGAUUCCGUGCAUUAAUAAAAGUCCAUAGUUUCAACUUUCAUGCAGUUGUUAAUCUCGGCCCUUUGUUAUCGGAUGGUUCAGAUUACAGAUACACUAAUUCGGUUUUCAACCAUCUCAACCAUAGAUUUAAAUCAGACAGACUAGAUUGGGAAUCCAUUUCCAUAUCAACUCCAUGAAAAACACUAAUAAAUAGGCUAAAAGAAUUAUCCCACAUCAUGUACAACCAAAGAUUCCAAGUACUUCCCUUUCCAUCACAAACCAAAACAAAGAAACCAAAAGCCUAACAUUACAUCAUAUAUUGUUGUUCUAAAUUACAUCCUUGACCAUGGUUAACAAUUUGCCGAGGGAAGGGAAAAGACAAGAAUGACCCACAAAAUAAAAACUUCUCAAUUCAUUAUGCAGGAAUGUGAAAGUGCACAACUCUUUCCAUAUCAUCUUUAAAAUUUUGAUAAUGAAAAGCAUCAUGGAUGCAAAGGUAGUGCCUUUCCCUUUCAAUGAUUAACCUAAUCAACUUAGGGUAAUAUUGACAUCAUCACCAAGUGUGAAAAAACCGAAGAAUACUUCAAGAUGAUAUCGGUUCGUAAGGGUAUGAUAACCAGGGGUGCUUUAGAGCUUCAGAUGCAGAAGGUCGCUUCUUCGGGUUAACCUCGAGCAAAUGAUCAACAAAGUCAAUGAAGCCUUGGUCCCCCAUCGGUAAUCUAUGCCUCAAAGAUGUCUUCUUUGGAAUCAGGUAUUCUAACCUGUUGCUUUCCUGCAUAUCAAUACACAGUACCUCACUGAAUAAUUUUUCCAUGAUAAUUAAACGUGGAGGCCAUGGCAACAAUUAUAACAUACAAUUGUAUGAUAACAUAGGCAUGUUUCGAUUCGGUUAUUUGUGGUUAUCAAUUAUCAUACACACAAUCGUAUGAUAAUAUGGGCCCUUAUGAGACCGUUCGAAAGAGUUUAUGGAAACAACUUAUGCCUUUAUUUUAUCUUUAAUUAUAGAAAAUAACUUGUAUAUAAGCACUUAUAUGAUAAGUGUUUAUACUAUAAGCUUAAUUAAGCUAUUAAUCUAAACAUGGGCAAUAUACACGAACGAAAAUAGUCAAUUUCAGAAAUUUUAGGGAGCUAUCUCCCAUUUUGCUUUUUGAAGACAAUGCAAAUGAAAAGAUAUCGAAGUUUUUAAGAUUUUUCACUAAUGCAUUUCAUAUGCAAAGAAACUUUAAAAAUUAAUUUCUUACCUGAUUCCUCUCAUAAAGCAUAUGAUUUUUUGUGAAGUACUUAUAGGUAUCCCGUCCUUUUGCUAGCAUACUUUGACCAAUUGGACCGAUGAUCCCGAUUACCCUAGCAAGUAAUGUUGCCGGGGAAUCAUUUUGAAAUAAGACCUACAAUACAACAAGCAUAGUUGAAUAUCAAUAGGGAAAGAAAAAUUUAUGGGUGUAUUUAACACAAGAGAAACCAAAUAAAGCACUGUACUAUAACAGAUACAGAUUCAAUAUCCGCUUUCACAGUUUCACCAUAAAAAGCAUAAUAAUCCUACAACUGCAAAGAGCAUACAACAAAAAAGAAAUUCACUGAGCCUGAUACGUCACCAAUCAUUUUUACGUCUACAAGAUACUUUGUCAAGUUAUUUAAGUCAUCAUCGUUUCACACACAUAAUAGAUUAAGAUAACAUGUCCUGUUCUACUGUCCAUAUAGUUCCACUAAAACAACACAGAAACUAACUUGUUUUCCCAAUCAUAGAUAGCAGAAAAUAGUGGUUUGUUCAAAUUCUGCUAUUCAACAGUUCUAUAGCACCACUACAGCGAUAAUGCAUAACAAUGGUGAUUUCGUUCAAAUUCCACAUCAUUUUCACAUGUAAAAUACACUUCAUCAGUUCAUUUGAGUGGAACACAAAUGGAAUGAAAUGGGACAGCUUGUUUUGGUUCAACAUUUUUAUUUUAUAUCAUUUUAUGUUCUACUUUUUACAUGCCUGAAACACGUAGAAUAUAAAUUAUUCUAUCCUACUCUAACCUGUCUACCAGAUACCUACUCUAACCUGUCUACCAGAUACUUCCUAAGAGUGAUUCAACAAAAGUUGGUAUCUAAACAAUGCCAUCACCAGGGGAGAAAAUGAAAUUUCAACGAUCAACAGUCAAUUUCAGUCUAAAUUAGACCUAAUGUAUUAGAGAAGAAAACUUGAGCAUUUUUAUGUACCUCCAACACGAAUUUGACAUGAAUCUUAACAUGCUUAAGUUUGAAAACUAUAUAUUAUACUUACAUUGCCAGUACAAAGUUCUGCCAAGAUGCAUCCAAGGGACCAGAUAUCAAUCUUCUUGUCGUAUGAAAGCCCGAGAAUAACCUCGGGAGCACAAUAGGACCUAGACUGAACAUAUGAGCAAAGGUGAUCUGUCUCAAAACAACUACUUCCAAGAUCAAUGACCUUCACCUCACAUCGGCUGUAGCUUUUAACCAAAAUAUUCUCCGGCUUCAAGUCACAAUGUAUUAGUCCAAGGUUAUGUAAAUACUGAAGUGCUUCCAAACAUUGAAUGGUAAUUGACUGCAAAAACAAAUCAAGACAAGUUUAUAAUGUUUUUAGUGUGACAGGAGUAGAAUCUAUGUAUACCUGUACAUAAAGAGAAUACUAAAGUUUGCUGUAGCUUUUUCUUCCAAUUUCACCCUUCAUUUAAACUCUUCUAUGUACAUUUUUACCCUUCAAAUUUGAUCUAAUCUAAUCCUAAUUAAAUUUUAAAUCAAAUCUAAUAAAAUCCUUAAAUCAAUCUAAAAAAUCAAAUCUAAACCAACCUUAAUUCAAUUUUGAAUUAAAAAUAUCAUAAUCAAAAUAAAAAUAAACAAUACUAAAUAAUAAAAUUUCGUCCAAAGCUUCAAACUUAAUUUCCGUGACCGACUAUGGCCUCUGUUAGAGAAAAGUGGACAGACCACCACGUCAGUGUCCAUUGCAUGCUAGUUGUAGAUAAAAUGAAAACUAACAUCAGAAUGUGAGCAGAACUCCACAAACCUGCAACCUUGGCAUUGUGAAGUACACUUCCCCUCCUGAUUCUCUGUUGAAUUUAUGAAACUCGUAUAAGUUGGCUUUGAGUAGCUCACAUACUAUUAACAAAUGUUCCUGCAGUGCCACAACAGAAAGAAAUGAAACGUGAUAAGUCAGAUGAUUAAGUGAAUCAAUAUAUCUCAACAUCACUUUGUAUAUAGCUUAAAANNNNNNNNNNNNNNNNNNNNNNNNNNNNNNNNNNNNNNNNNNNNNNNNNNNNNNNNNNNNNNNNNNNNNNNNNNNNNNNNNNNNNNNNNNNNNNNNNNNNCCGAGUGUCAGUGCCCCUAAAACUGAGGAACACUUGGUAAGUGAAUCCAUGGGAGAAUGAAGAGGAUGAGGAAGGUGAUUGUAUAGCCAUGAGAAUUGAGAGAAAUAGGAUGAAAAAAGAGUUUGAGAAUGCAGAAUAUGAAUGAGUGAAUUUUUGUGUUCUGUGAUGUGAAGUCUUUGAUAAGUAACUUUAUAACAAUGAGAAAAAUGGUCUCUGAAACUUUCCUGACCACUUCCUAUAGCCGUGUGGACCAAUCAUACAAUAUUAUAGUUAAU
rnacentral:lncRNA from 1 species